UAUUCUUCCAGAUACUAAACAGCUAAACCAAACCCACAGAGCACAAUGGAUAGAGCAAAAAUAGGGGACCUAACAACGUAAACUAGCUCCAUGAUUCUUGUCUGGCUGACCCUGGCUGACUUCUGACUUGGUGCUGGGGCAGGAGUUAGCUACACACAAUCUCCUUCCCGUUUCUCCCACUGGGAGGAAACAUGGAAAGAAAAGAAGAAAAAUAGCAGCACUUUUCCAUAGGUGUCCUUGCCUGGACAAUCAAGGACCAGCUCUGUGGUGUACAUGAUGAAGAGGAACAAUCUCAACAUUUUAGAUCUGGUGACGUGAACUCCUAAUUAGCAGAGAAAAAAGAAACAUGCUUUGACACUUUAUUUGCAUCCUGUAGCAACCAAAGUCCCUCUGAGUACAAGUGGGAGGCAGAACCGUGAGGACAAGCUCUGGGAAUUGCACUGUGAAGUGGGGUGCUUUGGAGUGGAUGCCGUCUGUAUUGGCCUCAGAGAGAACUUCAGUGCUGACAGGAAUUUGGUGAUCAGACCAGGGAUGAAGCUGAGCCUAAGGAAGACCAGACGGAUGUGAUACUGGUGGGCAGAGGAAAGUGCUAUGAGGCAUCUGCAGCCACUCUGCUAUCUCCUCUAACUGAAGGUACGUGCCCUCAUUUCAGACUGUAGUU
rnacentral:lncRNA from 1 species